GUGUGUGUGUGUGUGUGUGUGUGUGUGUGUGUAUGUAUAUAUAUGAAUAUAUAUAUAUAUAUAUACAUACAUACAUACAUACACACACACGU